UGGGGAAUAUUGCACAAUGGAGGGAACUCUGAUGCAGCGACGCCGCGUGAACGAAGAAGGCUUUCGAGUCGUAAAGUUCUUUUAUAUGGGAAGAUAAUGACGGUACCAUAAGAAAAAGCCCCGGCUAACUACGUGCCAGCAGCCGCGGUAAUACGUAGGGGGCUAGCGUUGUCCGGAAUCACUGGGCGUAAAGGGGUCGCAGGCGGAAAUGCAAGUCAGGUGUAAAAGGCAGUAGCUUAACUACUGUAAGCAUUUGAAACUGCAUAUCUUGAGAAGAGUAGAGGUAAGUGGAAUUUUUAGUGUAGCGGUGAAAUGCGUAGAUAUUAAAAAGAAUACCGGUGGCGAAGGCGACUUACUGGGCUCAUUCUGACGCUGAGGAACGAAAGCGUGGGUAGCAAACAGG
rnacentral:rRNA from 1 species